rnacentral:sRNA from 1 species
ACGAAGCCCGCAGCACGGAUGUAGUGCUACCAAGGCAUAAAGACUAACUCGAAUCGGCGGACUGGCAUAACGGCGUCAAACGGAGCCGCGUUUACGGACACGCGCUCACCAACUUAGAC